AAAUGAGAUGAUGAUUAGAAUUCUUUUCUUAUUGGUUUGAUCACCAAAAUGCUGGUGUAUGCUUAUGUAUUAGCUCUGGCUGACAUUC